rnacentral:rRNA from 1 species
CGGAGGAUCCAAGCGUUAUCCGGAAUCAUUGGGUUUAAAGGGUCCGUAGGCGGUUUAGUAAGUCAGUGGUGAAAGCCCAUCGCUCAACGGUGGAACGGCCAUUGAUACUGCUAGACUUGAAUUAUUAGGAAGUAACUAGAAUAUGUAGUGUAGCGGUGAAAUGCCUAGAGAUUACAUGGAAUACCAAUUGCGAAGGCAGGUUACUACUAAUUGAUUGACGCUGAUGGACGAAAGCGUGGGUAGCGAACAGGAUUAGAUACCCUGGUAGUCCACGCCGUAAACGAUGGAUACUAGCUGUUGGGAGCGAUCUCAGUGGCUAAGCGAAAGUGAUAAGUAUCCCACCUGGGGAGUACGUUCGCAAGAAUG